AUUGAACGCUGGCGGCAGGCCUAACACAUGCAAGUCGAACGGUAACAGGAAGCAGCUUGCUGCUUUUCUGACGAGUGGCGGACGGGUGAGUAAUGUCUGGGAAACUGCCCGCUUGAGGGGGAUAUCUACUGGAAACGGUAGCUAAUACCUCAUAACGUCGCCAGCCCAAAGAGGGGGACCUUAGGGCCUCUUGCCAUCGGAUGUGCCCAGGUGGGAUUAGCUAGUAGGUGGGGUAACGUCUCACCUAGGCGACGAUGCCUACCUGGUGUGAGAGGAUGGCAGGCGACACGGGAGCGGGAACACGGUCAAGACGCCUGAGGGAGGCAGCAGUGGGGAAUAUUGCACAAUGGGCGGAAGCCUGAUGCAGCCGGGCCGCGUGUAUGAAGAAGGCCUUCGGGUUGUAAAGUACUUUCAGCGGGGAGGAAGGGAGUAAAGUUGAUACCUAGGCUCAUUGACGUUACCGGCAGAAGAAGCACCGGCUAACUCCGUG
rnacentral:rRNA from 1 species